GACGAACGCUGGCGGCGUGCUUAACACAUGCAAGUCGAACGGAAAGGCCCUGCUUUUGUGGGGUGCUCGAGUGGCGAACGGGUGAGUAACACGUGAGUAACCUGCCCUUGACUUUGGGAUAACUUCAGGAAACUGGGGCUAAUACCGGAUAGGAGCUCCUGCUGCAUGGUGGGGGUUGGAAAGUUUCGGCGGUUGGGGAUGGACUCGCGGCUUAUCGGCUUGUUGGUGGGGUAGUGGCUUACCAAGGCUUUGACGGGUAGCCGGCCUGAGAGGGUGACCGGCCACAGUGGGACUGAGAUACGGCCCAGACUCCUACGGGAGGCAGAAGUGGGGAAUAUUGCACAAUGGGCGGAAGCCUGAUGCAGCAACGCCGCGUGCGGGAUGACGGCCUUAGGGUUGUAAACCGCUUUCGCCUGUGACGAAGCGUGAGUGACGGUAAUGGGUAAAGAAGCACCGGCUAACUACGUG
rnacentral:rRNA from 1 species